GGCGUGUGAGUGGUGUUUGGAAUGUUUGGAUAGUAGGCUCCGUGCUUUUGCAUCGAACUACUAAACAACAUCCUUUUCAAGGCUCGAGCGUUGUUUNAAUGCUCGAUGGACGAAUGUGUUCCUGUGUUGGAUACCCAUGUCGGAGGAACUAGGCUUCUGGUCUUUGUAGUCCUCUUGAUGCCUCUCAUGGGCAUCGAGUGGAGCACGUAGUUUGAUCUUUCAAACCUAGCAUGCCUGUUUGGUUGKGAUGGUUGUUCGAUCAAAGCUUGUGUUCUCGGAUGCGGAAUAUUCAAUGGGGCCAGGGAUUGUAUCCCUGCGUCUGCCCUGUGUGGGAAAUCGUCCCUUUAUAAGAACGACGUUCGCUGUUUUCACGAUUCGUCCGAUGCUCGCUCGAGCUGGAGAUGCUUCGUGGAUGCAUCGACGUCCUCGAAGGAAUGCUACCUGGUUGAUCCUGCCAGUAGUCAUAUGCUUGUCUCAAAGAUUAAGCCAUGCAUG
rnacentral:misc_RNA from 1 species